UUCGCAAUGGGCGAAAGCCUGACGGAGCAAGACCGCGUGGGGGAAGAAGGCUCUUGGGUUGUAAACCCCUUUUCUCUGGGAAGAAAGUUGUGAAAGCAGCCUGACGGUACCAGAGGAAUCAGCAUCGGCUAACUCCGUGCCAGCAGCCGCGGUAAGACGGAGGAUGCAAGCGUUAUCCGGAAUGAUUGGGCGUAAAGCGUCCGCAGGUGGCAGUUCAAGUCUGCUGUCAAAGACCGGGGCUCAACCUCGGAAAGGCAGUGGAAACUGAACAGCUAGAGUAUGGUAGGGGCAAAGGGAAUUCCUGGUGUAGCGGUGAAAUGCGUAGAGAUCAGGAAGAACAUCGGUGGCGAAGGCGCUUUGCUGGACCAUAACUGACACUCAGGGACGAAAGCUAGGGGAGCGAAUGGGAUUAGAUA
rnacentral:rRNA from 1 species